AUGCUGGUGACUCUCUGUGCUCUCAUCACUGCUCUGACAUGUGUGAGUGGUGUGACGGUGCUGACACAGAAACCUCCUGUUUUAUCAGUGAGCAAAGGAGAGGCAGUCACUAUGGACUGUAACCUGGGGACUGUUACUAAUAGUGAGGCGCGCUGGUAUAAACAGAUUCCAGGAGAAGUUCCUCAGUAUGUGCUGAGGAUGUAUCAUAGCUGGAGUUCUCCAACCUAUGGCUCUGGGUUCUCUGCUCCAAAAUUUACAUCCACUCAUCAGUCAACAUCAGAUUAUCGUUUGAUCAUCAAGAAUGUGGAGGAGGGAGACUCUGCAGUCUAUUACU